rnacentral:misc_RNA from 1 species
AAUGAAGAAAGAAAGAAAGAAAGAUCAUUCCAUUUUUGACUUAUGAGUCUGCUCUGUUCAUUUACAUUUCCGAAGCAACAAAACAGACCCUUACCUUAAUAUACAUAAUACAUAAAUGCACAUAAGUUUAGCCAGGCAUACAUAUUUUAUAUCAUUGAAAUGAAGCACAAAAGAGGAAUUAUGAUAUUAACGCUAUUAGCACCAUCAAAUGGAAAAUUAUUCACCCAAUUUGCAGGACUCAGCUACUAGUAAAAAAGUAAAAUAAACAAAUACACAGCAGCACAUACCCACAUCGCUCAGCACAACUUUUUGAUAUUAUUGUGGACUGAGCACCACUAUCAACAAAUGCCUGAAAUAAAGAGAAAUUUAUUAGGUUUUUGCUUCCAUCACAAUCCAUAGAAACAACAUCUAUAACAGCAUAUUAGCCAAGAAAAUUUCAGUAAUAGUUUCAUAAUGAAGUUGUUAUGGAGAAUAAAUAACAAGAUAAUUGAGAACAUGACAGAAACUAUAGUUAUGAUGAAAGAAUACAAAAAUAGAGUUAUAUUGAAACUUGAAACUUGAAAGAAUAACAUGAUCACGUCUUGGUUGAAGCCUCAGCUAAUUUUUGUAGUCUCUA